AUUGAACGCUGGCGGCAUGCCUAACACAUGCAAGUCGAACGCGAAAGUUCCUUCGGGGGCGAGUAGAGUGGCGGACGGGUGAGUAACGCGUGGGAAUCUGCCCUGUAGUGGGGGACAACCCGGGGAAACUCGGGCUAAUACCGCAUACGUCCUACGGGAGAAAGGGGGCCUCUGCUUGCAAGCUCCUGCUGGAGGAUGAGCCCACGUCCGAUUAGCUAGUUGGUGGGGUAAGGGCCUACCAAGGCGACGAUCGGUAGCUGGUCUGAGAGGAUGGCCAGCCACACUGGGACUGAGACACGGCCCAGACUCCUACGGGAGGCAGCAGUUGGGAAUAUUGGACAAUGGGCGCAAGCCUGAUCCAGCAAUGCCGCGUGUGUGAAGAAGGCCUGCGGGUUGUAAAGCACUUUCAGUGGGGAGGAAAAGCGGGGGGCUAAUACCGCCCUGUCUUGACGUUACCCACAGAAGAAGCACCGGCUAACUCCGUGCCAGCAGCCGCGGUAAUACGGAGGGUGCGAGCGUUAAUCGGAAUCACUGGGCGUAAGGCGCGCGUAGGCGGUCUGGGUGUCAGAAGGAAAGGCCUGGGCUCAACCUGGGAACUGCAUUUGAUACUGGCGGGC
rnacentral:rRNA from 1 species